rnacentral:misc_RNA from 1 species
UGAGGUGGGCAGGGGGUCGAUGG